UUGGCGCAAUGAAGUUUGCUGGUGAAACGCCCGAUUUGUGCUGCCUUAGUGCGAAAACUCAAAAAUACAAUGCCUUUUUCCAAAUGACUUCAUUUGGGGAGGAAAUUAUUGAAGAACAAGGAUAUAAUCCGGCAUUUAAGGUAAUUUACGU